CAGCAGUGGGGAAUAUUGCACAAUGGGCGCAAGCCUGAUGCAGCAACGCCGUGUGAGUGAAGAAGGUUUUCGGAUCGUAAAACUCUGUCCUAAGGGAAGAAACAAAUGACGGUACCUUAGGAGGAAGCCCCGGCUAACUACGUGCCAGCAGCCGCGGUAAUACGUAGGGGGCAAGCGUUAUCCGGAAUCACUGGGCGUAAAGGGUGCGUAGGCGGCUUAGCAAGCCAGGGGUGAAAGGCAUUGGCUCAACCAAUGUAAGCCUUUGGAACUGUUAAGCUUGAGUGCAGGAGAGGUAAGUGGAAUUCCUAGUGUAGAGGUGAAAAUUCGUAGAUAUUAGGAGGAACACCAGUGGCGAAGGCGACUUACUGGACUGUAACUGACGCUGAUGCACGAAAGCGUGGGUAGCGAACAGGAUUAGAUACCCUGGUAG
rnacentral:rRNA from 1 species